GACAUAGGUGGCGAACGUUAUCCGGAUUUAUUGGGCGUAAAGGGCGCGUAGGCGGCGGGGUAAGUCGGGUGUGAAAUCUCAGGGCUCAACCCUGAAACUGCACUUGAUACUGCUCUGCUUGAGGACUGGAGAGGAGACUGGAAUUCACGGUGUAGCAGUGAAAUGCGUAGAUAUCGUGAGGAAGACCAGUGGCGAAGGCGGGUCUCUGGACAGUUCCUGACGCUGAGGCGCGAAGGCCAGGGGAGCAAACGGG
rnacentral:rRNA from 1 species